UACAGAGGGGGCAAGCGUUGUUCGGAAUUACUGGGCGUAAAGGGCGCGUAGGCGGCCUGUUAAGUCGAACGUGAAAUCCCCCGGGCUCAACCCGGGAACUGCGUCCGAUACUGGCAGGCUUGAAUUCGGGAGAGGGAUGCGGAAUUCCAGGUGUAGCGGUGAAAUGCGUAGAUAUCUGGAGGAACACCGGUGGCGAAGGCGGCAUCCUGGACCGAG
rnacentral:rRNA from 1 species